rnacentral:lncRNA from 1 species
UGCCAAGGUCUCCGAGCCCCUGCCAGGGUCUGGAGACAGAUGGAGCAGCCAGAGGAAUGUGCUGGAUUUCGAGAGGUGGACACAGAGCUGGGAGGUCCCAGCCUCUGCUUUCCAGAGUAAGUGUGCACGGAGUGCAGCGUCCUACUGCAGAAAAUCCCAGCAAGCUGGCAGUGGGAUUGAUUGCCUUAUCUUUUUACUGGCUGGCAGCUCUUCC